ensembl:lncRNA
CUUGUGAGUGCAGUGCUGGAAAUACAGUGAGGAAUGCUCUUGAUUAAUUAGCUACUAAAGCUUGGUUCCCCGAAAUUGUCUGAUUCACACUGAUGCCUCUGCCUCCUGUUCUCCAGAAUUUUACCUUUGAAGUAACUUCUUUGAGAAGUCAUAUUCUGCGUGCUGAGGCUCGGUGGACUGGGAUCGCACUCCUUCCGCUCCUUGAAUCUCCUGAUUAUUCUUCUCCGAAUCAAAAUAUGCAUAUAUUGUUGCAUUCCUUUGCUUAAUCUCAGCAGGAAACUUCACUUUAAAGCACCUUCAGAAAUGUGGCACCCCACUGGCAAGGCUCUCUGGGAUUCAGUAUAAGGGCUGCAGACAAACAGGAAUGAAGGAAUAAAGAGGAACACUCAGAGGGGUGAGGACGGAGGGAGGCUUGGAUGCAGAGGAGGAGACUGAGCAUGGACAGUGAGAAGCCUUUCCCAGGAUGACUCCCACUCUGGAGAGGACAGCUGAGUGCCUACCAUCGGGGCUGUACUGGAGAGACACCAGUUUGAAGAGUGUACAUCAGAAAACGAUCACAGCCCGUUCACAUGGUGUCUGCUGGGCCUAUUGUCAGCUAAUCGAGACCAGCCUUGCUCCACCCAAGUCAGUGUGGCAUCCAGGUUGGUAUGAGGAGCUUUCAUCUCCUGGAUGUGCCUUUUGGGAGGUAAUGCAAAGCCUGCUGCCAUCGGUCAGAAGAUUCCUGCUGUCUUCAGGGAAAUUCAGGUUCAAAGAUGCUGAAUCUCCACUCCCCUUCACUGUUCUCACACUGAAGUUAUUUAAGGGGAGAGGGAUCGGUAUCAAAUUGAUGGAAAGCCAAAAUGAUCUUGAUCCUCCUCUGAGACUUGCUGUUGAAUUGCAUUAUAUAUAAGCAGAGAAGCUUUUCUAUUAUUAAUAGGAUAGAAAAUCAGAACCAUCAAGGAAAAUUAUAUAAGUCCUAUUAAGAUGGAUGAGUUGGAGUUAUGUCCACAUACCUGCAAGGAGAUUGUUCUCUGCAGCUCCUAUGAAAGUGUAUUGUCCUUCCAAGGGGAGACCUCACCGGAGUGGGAACACACCAGGGGAAGGGCUGUUAACUUCUCCCAGCCUGGUGGGCAGCUCUGUGGGCAAUGGGCACAGCUGUGCAGGCACCAGGCUGCUCCAGAGGAUGCUCUGCACCAGGGUGGGAGGCCUAGGUCAGCCCCUCAGGAGCCAACCUCCCUUGUGAUCUUCUGCUGAAAUCCCUCUCUCCGUUGUCUGCCUU